AGAUGAGCCUCUGCCUUUCGAAGCUCUUGGAACAAGACGGAAGAGAGUCACUCUUACCGUCGCGCAUACCUUAAGCGGGUCUGCCGCCUUCGUUUCUCUUUCUUCACGAGUGAUUUUUUGAUUGCGCUCCGCGCGGCACCUUUGGUGUUGUUUGCGUGAGCGGCACGAGCCGCGACGGCCAGUUAAACCAGCCAGUUUGAACUAAGAUUGGCGGCCAUUGAGGCUCGGCCUCGAAGCUGAUCGCCAUCUGCGCUUGGGCAAGGGCUUGUAGCUCAGUUGGUUAGAGCGCGCGCUUGAUAAGCGUGAGGUCGGAGGUUCAAGUCCUCCCAGGCCCACCACUUCCUUUUGAUAGGUAUCAGGGGCCGUAGCUCAGCUGGGAGAGCGCCUGCUUUGCAAGCAGGAUGUCGUCGGUUCGAUCCCGUCCGGCUCCACCAACCUUUCUUGGUUGGCUGUCGAGAGGAUGUGGCAAGCGUCAGAAAAUCAUUCGAUCCAAGAUUUGUGGUUCGCUCCCAAAGAGCCAACCGCUUGUUCUGUUUGACAUUGUAAAGAGAAGAUUUGUUCGGACUCCGUCGUCGGAGUGUGAGCUUGGAAGAUGAGGCUGCCAUGCCUUGUUGAAAGAGUUUGCGCGGUGAUGAUGAUGGUUUGUCGCGGUGAGACGCUCAAUCUCCCGCAUAUGAUGGGCUUGCCUAACCGCUGCCCCCGGACCCGAUCUCGAAAAGCUGGUCUUUUUGUGCCGAUGUCGUUGUGAGAAAUCAUGAUGAGCAUUGGCAAUGAGAA
rnacentral:tRNA from 1 species